CCGCACUCAGCAGCGACGAGGAGCUGGCCCGGGAGGAAGGUUUUUCAGCUUGCUAGAAGAGUGUGAGGGCAGCGCUGAAUCCUGCCCUAGUAUCUGGCUUUACUGAUGACUUCUGAAUGCUAUGACAGUGACUUAAAUUUAACAUCCAAGCCAUUCUCAGACAUCUUCCUCCUGCUGCCUGCGCUCCUGACAGUGCCACCUUGCUCACCAGCCAGGAGGUGACAGAUGUCUCGUCUUUAUGUCUAAUACCUCCCACUUGCUGACUGAAUUAAACCUCUUUGUUCCUGAGUUCAGCUGACUGAAGGACAGAAGGAGGUGACAGCCUUUUCAGCGUGUACAAUGGAUGAGGAAGAAGAAGAUGGAAAUGGAAAAGCUUGUGAAAUAAUACCACAUUUAACUGAUGUGAUUGGUGUUGCCCAAAAAUGCCUUGAUUGCUGUGCUGAGUGUGUGCCAGUGCAACUGCCUCAAGACUUACUAGUUGGGAAUCAGUAAGGAGCUGGCUGUUGGUGCAGUUCCAGUCUCUUAGCAAGGCUUUAUCACAGUGCCUUGUGUGAGCUCAACAUUAUGCACUUAAUGGAGGUGAUGCUAGGGAAGUGGGCCUGAGCAUGAUGCUGGGAAUCACCCUUAAGUGGUCCUUCUAAGCUUCUACCUCUUAGAAGUUUCUUGAGAUUUGGAAAGUUUAUUUCCUUGCCUUUUAAAUUUUUAUGGGGAACAUCAGUAUCUUUGAUUAGUGAUAAUAAAUGUUUUAUAAAAUAAAUGAAAACUCUGAAAGUUAAAAAAUUUGGUUUUAGUUUAAACUGCAAAGUUGUUAGCAUAGAAUUUCUGGAUAGCUGAAACCUCACACAAAACUCCCAUCUUUUUCUUUAAAAUCUCCAGUACUCCUUAUAUUCUGUUAACAACACUUCACAGUUGUAAAGAAAUCCCUGAAUCAGGAAUUCCUUGUUAGUGUUCCAGUAGGGUCCUCCUUUCAGUACUAUGCAGAACAACAAGUUGUCAAUUGCAUAUUUGAUGUUGUUGUAUUCUAAGUCCUAAAGAUGCCUUUUAAUGUGGCAAUGUCCUUUGUUUUUGUGUGUGUUCUGUGGUGGUUUCCAAAAUCCUUAGAAUUCUGUCUGUAAAAAAAAAAAAAAAAUUAAAAUAUUGGUGUUACUGGUUAUGUCUUCCAAAUGGCUACAGAUUUUCUGCAACCUAUAAUUGAGUUUUGGAAGGGAGUUUUGUUUUGUUUUGCUUUGUUUUAAUUAGCAUAAAUACAUGACAUUAAUUUCUUAAGUUUAAAAAAAAGAACAUAUAUAUCCUUAUGUCAAAUUCUCCACAACCUUCUCCUGUGCUCCUGUCUUUCUUUAGUGACUCAUCCUCAUGUCAGCAAAUUCUUUUCUGAAGACCUCUCUGAAACAGAGAGGUUUUGGCUGAAGAAAUAAUUAUCUGGGAGUUUCACAGCAAGAGCAUUGGAUCCUUUUGUGCUGUGUUUAGCUGCACAGAUGUCUGGGGAAGUGCUAACUGCCAGGGUGGGGCUUUGACUUGUAUCAUACAUUUUCUUACAAAUCAUGGCUAUAGAUAUGACCUGCUUGCAAGUAAUUUCUGAAGAAUAAGCCCUAAAGUGAUGGAAAUAGUAAAGAAUAGAAAUAAAAUAUGAAAGUUGUGCUAUUUCCCCCUGCAGAGGAUCUUUUUCCUUUGGCCUGAUCCAUCAGUUACUGAAGUCUGUGGAGAAACUCCCUAGGGAUUUGAACAUAUGAUCACAGAUACUUAUAAACCAAAAACUUUGCAGUUUGGGUCUGCUGCAAUUUUUGUGUUCAGUAAUCUUGAUUAUAUCUUGUGUUCUUCAAUGCUGAUGGUGCAUGGAAUAUCAGUAUUGAAAAUAAUUUGUAAACUGUUAAGCCGUGCUUGCUAAUGUAAUGAUAUAACACAGAAACGUGUCUUGGCAUAAGCUGUAUGUGGGGUUAUCAGAGUCUCGUAGCCAUGAGCACAGAGGAGCAGUGACUUGAGGGGAAACUCCAGUGGCCAAGUCACUGGGUAAGCAUGAGGGAAAUGCCCUGCUCUGCAUAUUGGACUGUCAAAGGAGAAGGACGAGCCUUGGGACCAAGUGUGAAAUUCACCAGACAAGUUAAUGGAAGAAGCUGGCUGGAUCAUUACCCUGAGAGGGACGUUCAAGUCAUUAUGGGGUGCAAGGACAGAGAUUCUUGGGAUUGUGCAAGGCUUAUUAUAAAAUGUUUAGGAGAAAGACCAAGGUGGGUAGAAGGAGGACCAAGGUAAUUUGAGAAGGGACAAAGACAAGAAGAUGGGGAAGAGAAGACAGCAAGGGCCAGUUGCAAGGUUGCUGGUAAGUAGUUUAAUGUGGUCUGCUGCUUUUCCAGCCUUGUCACUGAACUCUGUCGGUAAAUUUGUGGAUGAGGGUCUGUCUGUUCUGUGUGGGUAGAUAAGUAAGUGCCAGUGGCUGGAGAGGACACCAGGAUUUACAGGGGCUCUUGCUUGUUAUACCAGCAGCUAGAAAGACAAAUGUGAAGGUCUGAGUGCCAGCAGCUGGACAGGUGGCCAUAAGUAUGUCAUAGGUGUCUGUGUGUCUGAAGUGACAGCAACUGGAAAGACUGGAGCGGGUGCAUAUUGUGUGGGUGUGUCCAUCAAUGUGUGUAAUUAAUUACUAAUGAACAUUAAGGUGGAGGUCCAAGCCAGCUGUUGGAAGGACCCCUGGAAUUAGGGGAUGAGGCUGUGGGAGAGCCUGUUUGUACGUGAGGCAAGUGUCAGGCCAGGGGAUUCAGAAGCUAGGUACAGAUUGACUAAGCCCAGAGGGAGCCACAGGGUGUGUGUCAGUGUGUGCAAGUGUGCACAUGCUCCAGGGGAUCUGGGAGCCAGAAGUCUGUGUGGCUACAUGCCUCAGGGGCUUUUUUGCCCAGGUGCCAGCAACUGGAGACACCAGAAGAUCAGGCAGCCAGUAACUAGACAGAUGGAGUGUCUAAGAGCAGCUGCUGGAGGGAUCUGUACUAUAUCCAUCUAUGGAUUCCUUGCAUAUAUAGGCUUUCAUCCUAAUCAGCCAGAUGGGGAAACAGGAUGUGGGUGCUGGUACUGAUGGUGAUUUCAUGAGGGCUGUGUUUUGGUCUGUGUAUCUGACUGGCUCUGUGUGGGUACAAGUGCUUCUCCACCUUUUUUUGAAAAAACUAACUCAGCCUCACUGCUGUGGAAACCAGAGCAGCAACAGCCUGGCCUCUAAUGGGUAGUUGUUGUUGAUUUGGUAUUGUGGAGGCAUUAGAUCUCAGAUGCAGAAAGGCUGAGUUUUCAGGAAAAGAAUGUGAGCAGCAGCAAAGUAUACUAGAAAAUAAUAUGGAGAAAAUUAGUAAGAAAAACAAAGAUAUAAACACUCCAGAGAAACCUAUUUAGAAUUGCAGAAAAAUGUGCUUUGUUAUAUAGCAAGGUUAUAUAUACACUGUACAAUAAUAUGCAAUAACUUUAUACAUUCUUGUGGGUGCUAUUGACUGAAAGAUGCUGAAAGAAGAGAGUAACAGCACUUAUUCAUGCAUGGCAUGCUUUUCAGUAGCAUAAGUUAUUAUGUAUCUUCAUAGGAGGCUUUACUGCAUAAUUAAAAGAUAUCCCAGGCUG